CCUACGGGUGGCAGCAGUGAGGAAUAUUGGUCAAUGGCCGCAAGGCUGAACCAGCCAAGUCGCGUGAAGGAAGAAGGAUCUAUGGUUUGUAAACUUCUUUUAUAGGGGAAUAAAGGUAUCCACGUGUGGAUAUUUGCAUGUACCCUAUGAAUAAGCUUCGGCUAACUCCGUGCCAGCAGCCGCGGUAAUACAGAGGAUGCGAGCGUUAUCCGGAUUUAUUGGGUUGAAAGGGUGCGUAGGUUGUUAUUUAAGUUAGCGGUGAAAGUUUGUGGCUCAACCAUAGAAUUGCCGUUGAAACUGGGAGACUUGAGUGUGUCUGAGGGAGGCAGAAUGCGUGGUGUAGCGGUGAAAUGCAUAGAUAUCACGCAGAACUCCGAUUGCGAAGGCAGCUUACUAGGCCAAAACUGACACUGAAGCACGAAAGCGUGGGGAUCAAACAGGAUUAGAUACCCGAGUAGUC
rnacentral:rRNA from 1 species